GGUCAGUUUUAGAGUAAGUGUGAUGUUGUGCUGAGAAGAAUGUAUAUUCUGUUGAUUUGGGGUGGAAAAUCCUGUAAAGGUCUAUUAGGUUUGAUUGGUGUAUGUCUGAGUUCAAGUCCUGAAUAUCUUUGCUAAUUUUUUGUGUCAAUGAUCUGGCUAAUAUUUACAGUGGAAUGUUAAACUCUUUCACAAUUAUUGUGUGGGAGUCUUAGUCUUUUGUAUGUCUCUAAGAACUUGUUUUAUGAAUCU